GGAGGUGCAAUUAGCAAGUCUGGGCCUUAAGCCCAAACCAAGCAGCCAAGUCCCGGUCCAAGUUCAUGUCCACGUACAAAAUCCAGGUCAAAUUCACAAUUCAAACGCGAGCUUCUCAACAACAAUGAAACGCAUCAGCAAAUGAAUCAUAUGAACACUCUGGUUUCAUUAUCUUCCUCUCAUUCAAAAGCUUCAAAGCAGAUCAAGAAUAAACGAAAUGGAAUCGGAUUCAAACCUUCGACCCCUCACUCUCAUCUCAACAUUCCAGUGCAAAAUAAGAAGAAAAUUAACUCUGAUUCGAAUUCAGCAUCUCUUUCAAAAUGGAAUCCUCACACCGAUUUGUCUCAUUCACGCGCUUAAAUGAUGAACAAGAAGGAGAAGAAAAAAACCUACCAAAAUGGAGAUCUGAUGCGGUGGCUAUCGGUGAUAGCAGGAGGUCUUUAAGCAAAGCAUGACAUGGCUUUAUGGUGGGCAAGGCAAGACAAGACCAGGCUCAUGACAUGAAAAUGGUCAAAUUGCGAAAAGUGGAGUUUCUUGAUCAUGAAGGAACAUUGGAUCAAAUAUAGAUGUAUAUGUAGCCAACAUUAGGUUUAGGAGGAAGAAACGUAAAGGUUAACUUUGGUCAACUAUUUGACCAAAAGGUCAACAGUUGACCAAAAUGUCAACUUUUGAAAAAUGUAUAUUUUUUAUUUCUUUGUAAUGGAACAAUGUAUCCCUUGAUGAAUGAAAGAAAACUCAAAUGUUUGGAUGAAAUAAAAUAUGAUUGUAUGUGAAUCAAGAAUUAACUUUAUGAAUGAAACAAAUACAUUACUCCAUUAAA